rnacentral:lncRNA from 1 species
AGAGGAUCCAGUUCCUCCAUCAGCACAUCCUGCAGGAGAGAAGAGCAGCCAGCAGAGCCUUCAAGAGCUUUACAUCAGGAGGAGGGAGAGGAGGGAGAGGAGGGAGUCGCUUACACACUCUACUGACUCAGUAAAACUAUUCAGAUUUUCUCCACAAACCUGAAUGUAAUCGUUGAAAGCAGUGCUCAGGCUGCUCUAGCUAGCUUGUUGUGCUCUGUGUGUGUCUGUGUGUGUCAGGUUAGCUGUAAGGCUUCACCUGUCUCACUUCCUGGACCCAUCAUCUUCCAUUACAUGUGCCUCUUGUGCGGAGGCGUUGGUGCCGGAGGGCGACGACACUCUGACCUGUGACCACCCUCAUUGUUCAGGUGAACACAGAUGAUACCUCUGCCUAUCAUGAUCCAACUUUAACCAAUCAGGUCCAAGAGGACACGUGACCUGUCACUGAGGAUGUUGGGAAGCUAGUUAGCAUGUGUCUCUUCAUGUCUGUAUAUGUCUCUUAGUGUGUCACUGCAUUUCUGUGUGUGUGCGUCUCUGUGUGUGUGUGUCUGUGUGUGUGUGUCUCAGUGUGUCUGUGUGUGUCUCAGUGUGUGUGUGUGUGUGUCUCAGUGUGUGUGUGUCUGUGUGUGUGUGUGUCUGUGUGUGUGUGCUGAGGGAGUGUCCUGCAGCUGCUGUUGACUCUGAACAGAUAACGGCCAUAACUCAAAACAGACCUUUCACUUCAGUUGGUCACAGUUGGCUAUAAACGGUGUUACUGAUUGAUUGAUCAGUCCGAUCAGAAACAGCUUCCUGUUUGUCACCUUUUAUCAGACUGGGUCAGAGGUCGUGCGCUGACAGGUUACUGAUAAAGUCGCCUGUCCCCGUGUGCCUCAGACUAACAUGUUGUAUGUUUGUGCAGGCGUGUACUGUCGGCCAUGUUUCCACAGUCUGGGAAACACAUGUGUCGUCUGUGCACAAGCUUUGACCUGUCAAGAAGAAGAAGAGGAGCUAGACUCCAGUGACGAUGAGCAGCCCCACCCAUCCCACACUCUGAGGGUGGACAGGAGGACCUCCACUGGAACAUUUCAAGGAGACAGCGAGGGAGACAGGGACAGUGAAGCAGACAUGAGGGGCCAGGACCAACACGCCUCAGACGAAUGUGACAGUGACGCCUCCUUCCAGUCGGCCACCACCAGCCUCUAGAGCCCCACCCUCAGCCCUCACACACCGGACCGUAGCAGCUCCAGAACCCUCCAGAACUGGACUCUGUGCCUCUUAGGUCUCCCCUGUGAUCUAUGUGUUUCUUUGUCUUAUUUUAACAUGAUCUUUAAAAACAUCCUGCCCUCCGUGUGUUUUGUGUGUGUGAGAGAGAGAGAGAGAGAGAGGGGUGUGGCUGAUAACAGAAACAAAGACAGUCCACAGAAAAAUGCACCGUUCACAGUGUGUCUGUGCGCGUGCCCGUGGAGUGGGAGGACUCGGGACCGUCAGCAGCUUUGAACUCUCGACACUCUCGGUUCGCGGUGGCUCGCGCUCGGUGUGUUUUUCUUGCAGUUUGAACUUUCAGCUAUGGCGACCAAGUUCUCAGAUCUGGAGCUGGCCAUCAACUCAUUGGUGACGGAGUUUCACAAAGCUGCUGACAAUGGGCCGACCAUGAACACCACCCAGUUCCAGACCAUGAUCUCCAAGCAGAUGCCUGCCGUCUCAAAGACGCUGGAGAAAGAAGAUGGGCUGAGUGACGUCCUGCAGCAGAUGGGCGUCGAGAACGGCCAGAACAUCUCUUUCGAGAACUUCUGGAAACUGAUUAACCAACAGGCUGUGCAGCUUUUCGGCACCGCGCACAAAGAGAAGAAUAUCAAGUGCAGCUGCCUGUUGCAGUGAGUGUGAGCCAGGAAGCUGGCCAACCACAGGGGGCGCUGCAGGACAACAAUCAAUAGCUGAAAUUGCAGAUACACAGAAAUGAAACCUGUAGAAGUCAUGUGUUAUUUAGUAACAGCCCGUCCUCUGUUAACCAGCCUGUGUCUUCUGGACAGUAUGAAUACAACAAACAGAGGUCGGUGUCGAUGUAAGACGGUGUGUACAUCAACCAUUUGAAAGUUGAUUUGUUCACGUCUGGUGCUCCGUACGAAGGCUAUACGUUCUACAGAAAAACACAAAGGGACCAUUUGAAGGUUUUAUAAUGUAAUCCUCAAGUUACUUCCUACCUGUAGUUACUUCCUUACUUACACUGUUUUCAUACUAAUGUUUUUCACUGCAAACUCUGAUUAAACCUGCUUCUGUGACG